AGACACAAGCUUGCCAGGUUGCCAUUUCCUAUACUUUUAAUUCCCAUUUCAUUAUUCAAACCUAGUAAAUUCUGUUUAAGUAGAAGAUAACUUACUUGAAAAAAACAAACAAACAAACAAGGAAAAGCAUCCAGUUCUGAUUUAAAGAACAAAACUAUGAAGAAUCUAUUCCUUCCCAUUGUAAAUCUCUUGCAAUAGUUAGUAUCUGAGUUAAAAGUACAUAUGCCUUCUUUUUGUCUGGCUACAGAUUCCAGCCUUAUGUUAUCUUUAUGCCCCAGACAAAGAGUUCUUUGGCACCUGGUGUUUUUCUCUUAUAAUUGUAUGCCUGUAUUCCAAUCUUUAAAUUGUUUAGAAGCUGAAUGGAUCCUUAGAGUCUAAUCAUUGUAUGGCACUUUCUCCAGUCCCUGAGCAGGAGCUGAAGCUUUUUUGCAAACCUCCAGUUUUUCAGUAGACUGUGAAAAAUGUGGACAUCAAAAGUAAAUACAAUAUUCCUGUAUUAGUUUCACUCAAGCUGUUUUAAAGGAAGAAACAUCAGCUCCCAAGAAGGGAGCACUCCUCUGCCUCUAAUGAAUUGCAUGUCCCUUGUGACUCUCAAAUGGAUAGGUUUCUCACCAUUCCAGUUCUUUUGCUGGUACACCUUCGUUCCUUGUUACACAUACUCUGUGCAUCAGUCAAUAGCUGGUUUCAGUAAAACAUAUUUUGUUGAAGAAGCUGAAUUUCUAUGAUUCUAUUAAGUUUUCAGGUAAUUUGCAUCACUUUGCAAUUGUCCUGUCCAUGUUGUACACCACUCCACCAGCCUUUGUGUCACCUGCAGAUCUUGUCCGCCGUCAUUUUGCACGGGCUGGACCCAAUACUGCUUCCCGUGAAAGCACCUCCUUUUAAUGAUGACUUCCCAGUGACAGCUCCCUUGGAGGCCUACCAGGUAGCCAUCACUAAUGCCAUUUGGUGUGCAUUCUGCUUGUACUAUCAGAGUUAUUUUAAUUUAUCGAUUGCUUAGUUCAAGUAGCAAAACGGUUUGGCACCCAGGAGUCUUGAAAGCCUAAAUCUCCUGUGGUGGAAGAUAGCUGUAAAGCUCAGACUCUGCCCUGCAGGCUGCACUGAGCCUAGAGCAUCCCCUGCUGCUUCAAGCUCGGGAUGGCACUCCUAGCCAAGGAGCCCAGGCAGAGAACUGCCGGUAUCAUUUCUGUUUAUUUUGGUUGUUUCGUGUGAGGCAGGCUUCUACUCCUUAGGUUUUGCUUGUUCUUAUACAGGGGGGGAAAAAAAUCAAGUCUGAAACCAUCCUGGAAAAAGGAUUUUAUGUUUUCUCACAGCAACUCAAUUCUCUGUCUCAACUUCUACAGUCAUUUUCUAAAAGCACCCUAUGCAAAACAGGAGAUGAUAAUGUAUGAAAUAGGCUACGAAAUAAACACUUUAAUUAUAUUUUAUAUCACAAAAUAUACUACCACCAGCCAUGCCUAUAAUGUCCAGUUCAGAAAAAUAAUGGAUGUCUCCUCUAAGGAGUAAAUUUUCAAAAGUAACUUUUUAACUUUUCAUGAUUCCAGAGGGUAGACAAUGUUUAACUCACACUUAUUUAAAUUGGAUACUUGAUAUUUAUUCAGAUGUAGCCUUCAGGAUAGCAUACAUAACUGAAGUGUUUUAGCAGUUGCAUUUUCCCAACAGAAGAUGUUGAAGAUCAUGUAGGUGAGUAAUCAAUGCCAUAAAAUAGCUACUCUGUUUCCCUUAUGACGGACAAAUCCUCAUUCCUGUUUUCUUGCUUCCGAGUGCAGUGUGGUGGUUUAUCACUGCUGAAUGGUGAAAUUCACUCCAUUUCACUGAGCCACCACUGUGAUAUACAUACCUAGUUCUUUCUUCCACUCUUCCUUCACUGUGUACACUCAUGGUUUUGAGCAAUGCCUGUACAUUUACUACAUACCCUCACAGUUUGCAGUGCAGGGCAUUAUUUCUAUCUGUUAUACAUACAGAAAAUAAGACAUAGGUUGUCCCAAGGUGACAGAGGAAGGCAUUGGCAAGGGCUGGCAAAAGCCCAGAUGUCCUGAACUGGAGUCUAAUGGUUAAACCAUAAGGCCAUCAUUCUUCAAGCACUUCAUCAGGUGUGCUUCUACUGGUGUUUUGUAGCAGCAGGGUUUAAAUCGGUCUGCAGAGGUACCACGGUAGCCUCUUGAUUGCAUGGUUUAGUUGCUGUGUACUGAGUUGGGAGCCACAGAGCAGAUUUAGACAUCCUCACCAUCAUCCCAACGGACUGGGGAGGUGAAAGUCACAUUCUAAAGUCAGCUACUACCUGUGCCCUUAGUUCAGCUGGGAGGGACGGGGAGUGGGGGAACACUCAGGCUGACUUAAUAAUUUGCAUCCUAAAAUCUUUUGCUGCAUGCAACAAGAUGAGUAAUAUUUUCCCUAUGACAAUAUCAAAUCUAUUUGUAGAAUUGUCUUAUAAUUCCAGAAUUUAUUCAGUCUGUAAUUGCCUAGUGAUAUUAUUUCCCUAAAGAUCAUGAAUAUAUUUUUUUUACCAAGUACUUUCUGAAAAUAUAAACAAAGGUAGAGUUGCACGGCAAGGGCAUCAGUCCUGCUGGAAAACAUUAAUAGCUUUAAUGAUGGAAAUAGGGCAGGUCUGAGAGUUUGUAGUUACUGCUGUUUACAGGUCUGGGUGAGAUACUGGUUUAAAUGUGCAUUUUGUGAAUUAUUAAGGUAGAUGUGAGAGCAGUACACCAAAAUUGCAAUUUAUUUAUUACAUGGAGGGUAGAUGGAAGAAAAUACACUGUAGGUUUAAUGUUACCAACAUUUUUUUAUUCCCAGAGGAAAAGACAUGUCAAUGACUCUCUUCUGCAGUGUCUGCUGAGAUACAAGACUUCCCAAGUUCCUUGGUCUAGCCCUCAGAUGAUAUGAUUAUUCUUUAUGUGUUUCCCAUGAAGGAGUGCAUAGAUUGAGACCAAACCCAAACCCCUCCUACAUCAGGUGCUGUUCUCCAACAAAGAAUUACUCAUCUUGCUGCUGACGAAAAGGUGCUUUUUCAAAAAAAAGGUCAGAACUUAAAACAGAUGUCCUCAGGCUGAAGACGGAAAUAUUUCACAUGUGAGCAGUUGCACACACGCAGCAUGGAGGCUGCUUCGCGUUGCUUUCACCUAGAGUGUGAAAUUCCAAGUCACUGUGAAAAAGCUGCCUUAGGAAUAUUCUUGGCAAUACUGCAAGCAGAAAGUACAGGAAACCUCGCAAGAGAGUUUGUUCCAGCAACACUGCCAUCCACGUUUCCCAGCUGCAAGGACAUUGAAAGCAAAUCUAAACACCGUCCUUUCCCUCCCAAAGAACCUCGCUAAGGUAGAAAUACCUGGGACCAGAAAAGUGUAAUUAAGUUAUGCCACAAUCACAACCCACUGAAAUAAAGGGAAAACCAAUUAAUCUAUGAGAAAAGUUUCACAAAUCAAAAAGGGGGCAAGAUAGUGUAACCCAGUCGCUGCAUGACAGGCUGGCUACCAGACAGAGCCGGAAAGCAAAGGGGAAAGAUUAUUAAUGGCAAGCAUUUCUCUGCUGUUCCUUGUAGACACAUCUGGCAAACACUUGUAAGUGCAGAAGAGCCAGUGCAGGGCUGAUGUUGGAAAAAGGAAGGUAGCGCUGUCUCUCCCGUUUGCCACCAGUGCCGUUUGGUACCACCACAUCGGAUCUAACAGGCCUGUCACGUUCUUUUAGGACAUGCUUCUGAUAACUUUCUGAAAGCAUACUUAAGUAAAGAAGGAGAGUGUACACAUUUAUGGGGGAGUUAACCUUUCCAAUGCUCUUAAACAUAGCCUAAUUUAGCUGCUAAGCUUUACUGCACAGGUGUAUUGGCUUCAUCAGUGAACGAAGUGAAGUCUAUUACUGGUACAAGAUCUUAAAUAUCAUCUUAAGCUCUGUGUUCCGUCUAAAAAGUCUGUGAGAUGGGGUUGGGGGGGUCCUGACUACCAUAUUUGGACCAGAUUAUUCCUCCAGAGGAGACACAGUGGAGGAAGACAUAAGGCUGCAUUGUGAAGACCUGACUGCCUCUUGGAGAGGCCAAGCCUUGUUGACUUUGCCAUUAAAAUACAGAGGCCUUCAGUGCUGGAACUGUGUAAGAAUUUAAAGGGAAUAAAUGUGACUCAGAACUUUAUUAGCUGAUUUCACCCUGUGUUGAAGUGCUGUCUUCCUUGAAUGACACAAACUCAGCUUGGCUCCUAUAUACUGUGCUACAGUGUUCAAAGCUCCUCGGGGUGCCCCUGAAGGGAAGGUAAUAUAGCCAAAGAUAUACUGAGAAGUACACUGGCAUAAUUGCUCUUCUGUGUGGUUUUAAUCUCAGUUUUGCUUCAAGUUUGCAAUAUAACCAACAUUAAGUUCAUGACUUUUAGAAUUAUUUUGAUUUUAGGCCAUAGAUAUGUUAUUUAUUUAUUGGUACUAUUGAAUUUUCUCAAUUCUUUAUUAGAACUGACAGAUUUCUUUUUCUAAUCCUGGCAAUGGUAACAACUGCAUAACCCUGAAGUUGCUAUUUAACCCAUUCGUGUUCAUUUAGGAAGAAUCAUCAGAGAGGUCUCCUGCAGUUCAAGAAAAUAUGGAUAUAGCAAUGUGAUUGUGUCUGUGUGUCAACAGCGGGGCAUAUCAGAAAAUAGUUUAUCAGCAAUUUUUAGGCAGAAGUCUGAUUUACUGUUUUCUAAUGUAUAAUAUUGGAAUAAUACUGAUUUCACUAGGCAAGUUAAGUGCUAAGUAAAACUUCUGUGAAACUGCAAUCAUUUGGCUCAAUAAAUUACAGUGCUCUACUACUAGCCAGAAAAAUGCAAUAAAUGGUCAAAUGCUAGGCUGGUGAAUUUAUUGUAAGUAAAGUGUAC